UGGAGGAAGAGAUGGAGGAAGAGAUGGAGGAUCAGCGCAGACUGAUGGAUUUCAGCCGGAUACCGAGGAUCAUCUUACACCGGACAGGUACGAAACACCUUCACGGUUUACUGAUGACAUGAGGCGCGAAACGGACAAAAGCUGGAGGAAAUACAGGAGACAGAUUAAAGGAAACAAUGUUUGAAACCGAAUUAGGAUGAAUGUUUUACAGAAAUAAAUUAACUGAUAAGACAGAAACAGAGCGCUGGUUGGACUUCGGGAGGUUCGGGAGAGCAGGUCGAUUCCAAAAAAUAUUAUUAUUAUUAUUAUUAAUAUUAUUAUUCCAUAAUUGCAUCAGCGUUUUCUAUGGCAGGCCGUUCUGUUAAUAAAUGGGUUUACCAAACUUUCAUUCUGUAUAUCUGAAAUUAGUUUCCGACUAGAAAUGUUUAAACAAUAUAAUUAUGUUUUUGACCAGACAAAAUAUGUCUUUGAGGUAUAUUUAAUUACAUCCUGACUAGAAUAAAUGACAUCAGAUUUACCAUUAAUAUAUAUGGUGGUUUCAAUU